AGCGAGGCACGUUACGCCCGCCUCGCGAGAGGGAACCCGGUGCGAGUCCGGGACUGUCCCGCAGCGGUGAGCAGGAACGACCGCCGUCACCAAGCACUGGUCUUUGCGAAAGAUCGAAGACUGGGAAGCGACGGCCAGUAGGAGCACCACCCGGUGCGCGCCUGCGAGUCCGAAGACCUGCCGGCUGUGCCGGGCGCGC
rnacentral:ncRNA from 1 species